rnacentral:rRNA from 1 species
AUAACGGUCCUAAGGUAGCGAAAUUCCUUGUCGGGUAAGUUCCGACCUGCACGAAAGGCGCAACGACUUGGGCGCUGUCUCGACCAUGGACCCGGUGAAAUUGCACUGGUCGUGAAGAUGCGACUUACCCGCGGAAGGACGGAAAGACCCCGUGAACCUUCACUGCAGCUUGGCAUUGGCCGCUGGUCCCGCGUGUAGAGGAUAGGCAGGAGGCGAAGAUCCGGAGGCGCCAGCCCCCGGGGAGCCGCCCUUGGAAUACUGCCCUCGCGCGACCGGCGUCCUAACCCGAGGCCGUCAACCGGCUCGGGGACCGUGCCAGGCGGGCAGUUUGACUGGGGCGGUCGCCUCCUAAAGGGUAACGGAGGCGCGCGAAGGUCCGCUCGGGACGGUCGGCAACCGUCCUUUUGAAUGCAAGAGUACAAGCGGGCUUGACUGCGAGGCCCACAAGCCGAGCAGGUGCGAAAGCAGGCUCUAGUGAUCCGGCGGCCCCGAGUGGGUGGGCCGUCGCUCAACGGAUAAAAGGUACUCCGGGGAUAACAGGCUGAUCUUGCCCAAGAGUCCACAUCGACGGCAAGGUUUGGCACCUCGAUGUCGGCUCAUCGCAUCCUGGGGCUGGAGCAGGUCCCAAGGGUACGGCUGUUCGCCGUUUAAAGUGGUACGCGAGCUGGGUUUAAAACGUCGUGAGACAGUUUGGUCCCUAUCUUCUGUGGGCGUAGGAGAAUUGAAAGGGCCUGUCCCUAGUACGAGAGGACCGGGAUGGACACACCACUGGUGGACCUGUUGUCGUGCCAACGGCACAGCAGGGUAGCUAUGUGUGGAAGGGAUAACCGCUGAAAGCAUCUAAGCGGGAAGCCUGCCUUAAGAUAAGUUCUCCCUGACGCAAGUCCUGAAGGGCCGAGGUAGACGACCUCGUCGAUAGGCUGGAGGUGGAAGCCCUGUGAGGGGUGGAGCUGACCAGUACUAAUAGCCCGUGCGUCUUGUUUCU